rnacentral:rRNA from 1 species
GACGAACGCUGGCGGCGUGCCUAAUACAUGCAAGUCGAGCGAAGAAUUUCUGGUGCUUGCACUAGAAAUUCUUAGCGGCGAACGGGUGAGUAACACGUAAAGAACCUGCCUUAUAGACUGGGAUAACUACGGGAAACUGUAGCUAAUACCGGAUAACAACAUUUUCCGCAUGGGAGAUGUUUAAAAGUUGGUGAAGCUAACACUAUAAGAUGGCUUUGCGGAGCAUUAGCUAGUUGGUGGGAUAAAAGCCUACCAAGGCGACGAUGCAUAGCCGACCUGAGAGGGUGAACGGCCACAUUGGGACUGAGACACGGCCCAAACUCCUACGGGAGGCAGCAGUAGGGAAUCUUCCGCAAUGGACGAAAGUCUGACGGAGCAACGCCGCGUGAGUGAAGAAGGAUUUCGGUUCGUAAAGCUCUGUUGUUAGGGAAGAAAGGUUGUGUAGUAACUAUACACAAAACAGACGGUACCUAACCAGAAAGCCACGGCUAACUACGUGCCAGCAGCCGCGGUAAUACGUAGGUGGCAAGCGUUGUCCGGAAUUAUUGGGCGUAAAGCGCGCGCAGGUGGUUUAGAAAGUCUAAUGUGAAAGCCCACGGCUCAACCGUGGAAGGUCAUUGGAAACUGAUAAACUUGAGUGCAGGAGAGAAAAGUGGAAUUCCUAGUGUAGCGGUGAAAUGCGUAGAGAUUAGGAGGAACACCAGUGGCGAAGGCGGCUUUUUGGCCUGCAACUGACACUGAGGCGCGAAAGCGUGGGGAGCAAACAGG